GGCUCAGAUUGAACGCUGGCGGCGUGCUUAACACAUGCAAGUCGAUCGGUAACAGGUGUAGCAAUACAUGCUGACGAGAGGCGGACGGGUGAGGAAUAUUUGGGAAUCUGCCCAUCAGCGGGGGACAACCCGGGGAAACUCGGGCUAAUACCGCAUACGCUCUACGGAGGAAAGCCGGGGACCGCAAGGCCUGGCACUGAUGGAUGAGCCCAAAUCGGAUUAGCUAGUUGGCGGGGUAACGGCCCACCAAGGCGACGAUCCGUAGCUGGUCUGAGAGGACGAUCAGCCACACCGGAACUGAGACACGGUCCGGACUCCUACGGGAGGCAGCAGUGGGGAAUAUUGGACAAUGGGGGAAACCCUGAUCCAGCGACGCCGCGUGGGUGAAGAAGGCCUGCGGGUUGUAAAGCCCUUUCGGUAGGGACGAAAACUCUUGCCCUAACAAGGCAGGAGCUUGACUUAACCUACAUAAGAAGCACCGGCUAACUCUGUGCCAGCAGCCGCGGUAAUACAGAGGGUGCGAGCGUUAAUCGGAAUUACUGGGCGUAAAGCGCACGUAGGCGGCUUUGUAAGUCGGAUGUGAAAUCCCCGGGCUCAACCUGGGAACUGCACCCGAAACUACAUUGCUAGAGUAUGGGAGAGGGAGGCGGAAUUUCCGGUGUAGCAGUGAAAUGCGUAGAUAUCGGAAGGAACAUCAGUGGCGAAGGCGGCCUCCUGGACCAAUACUGACGCUCAGGUGCGAAAGCGUGGGGAGCAAACAGGAUUAGAUACCCUGGUAGUCCACGCCCUAAACGAUGAGAACUGGAUGUCGGGAGGGUUUGCCUCCCGGUGUCGUAGCUAACGCGAUAAGUUCUCCGCCUGGGAAGUACGGCCCGCAGGGUGAAACUCAAAG
rnacentral:rRNA from 1 species